rnacentral:lncRNA from 1 species
GAGGCACACUUGAAUCUGAGGCGUAGGUUUGAAAAAUCGUUUGAAUUCAACGCCUCGGAUUUGUUCGACAAUGAAGGGCUUAGAUUGACUGAGAUUCGAUCUAACGGCUUGGGUUCGUCCUAGACCUCUAUAAGAGGUGAGAAAAUUCUAUUUUUCAGGAUUUUUGAACACUUGCAAUCUGAUUCUCUCUCAAAUCUUGAACUUUCCGGCGUCGAGGCUGCUUGUUCUUUGAUUUUC